UUCGCCGUUGUUUUCUGACAACAAUACGCUGCCGCACAAUGGACCCAACUAUUUACCAACAAAUUAUUGCCUACAAAACAAAACAAGAAUACCCAAAUGGUAUUACGAAGAAGGAGAAGUACGUAUCGAGAAGAAAAGCUUCUUUUUACGACGUUGAUGUGGACCGUGGUUCAAAGCGCCGUCAGGUGAAACCGCUGGCUGCUUCUCUUCUUGAUGCCCUGGAUUAUAAUAGCUCAGAUGACAGUGACUUUGAAGUUGGAGAUGCCUCAGGAUCAGAUGGAACAGGCAAUGGCAGUGACGAGGAAGGUUCCAAACCAAGUGCCGCAGGUUCCGAAAGUGACUCAGACAAUGUGGUUUCGAUAGAUAUUGGUACUGAUGAAGGAGAGCCCAAACAUCUGAUUGCAGAGGAUAACGUGGCUGAAGAUGAAGAGAAGUCGAAACAGCAGAGCUCCUCAGAUGCCUCUGCUGUUAGUCUACCUAAAGGCAGACGAAAGAGCAAGAAGGUUUUGGAGCCUGAGUCCCGUGCAGAGGCUGGUAUUAUCUCAACCUUGGCAUCUGAGGCUGGGAGUGAUAAUGCUGACGUGUAUGAAACUGAGCCCAAAAAAUGGAACUUUCGCAGGAAUCGUCCACUUCUUGAUUUUACAACCAUGGAAGAGCUGAAUGAGAUAGAUGACUAUGAUAGUGAGGAUGACAAUGACUGGAGACCCACAGCGGGAAAGAAGAGAGGCAAGGCAGCAACCCAAAAAGGUGGUGGCACAGAUGAAGGAGACAGUGCCAUUGCAGAUGAUAAUGAUGGGGAUGAGGAUGAGGAUGAUGAUAAGGAUGACAAUGAUGAAGACGAUGAUGAUGAUGACGAUGUAGAUGAUGAUGGUGAGGAUGAGGAUGAUAAGGAAGAUGAUGAAGUAAACAACAGUAGCAGUGAGAGUGACAAGGAGGUGAAGAAACCCAAGAAAAAGGCUAAAAAUACCAAUGCUUUUGAUGAAGAAUUAACAAAUGACAGCAUGUCCCAAGGAAAAGGAAUUGAGGAUGCGUCGCUAGAUCGGUCCCAGACGUGGAAUGCCCAGCACAUCCUAAUCUGCUCAGUUUGCUUGGGAGACAAUAGUGAAGAUGCAGAUGAGAUAAUUCAGUGUGACAAUUGCGGUGUUACUGUGCAUGAAGGGUGUUACGGCGUUGAUGGCGAGAGUGAUUCUAUAAUGAGCUCAGCAUCAGAGAACUCAACAGAACCUUGGUUUUGUGAUGCCUGUAAGAAUGGAGUGAUGCCAAGCUGUGAGCUCUGCCCCAACCAGGAUGGUAUCUUCAAAGAGACAGAUGCCGGGAGAUGGGUGCAUGUGGUUUGUGCACUUUAUGUUCCUGGGGUUGCAUUUGGAGACAUCGAUAAACUCCGACCAGUGACUCUCACUGAGAUGAACUAUUCAAAAUAUGGGGCGAAGGAGUGCAGUUUCUGCGAAGAUCACCGCUUUGCCAGGACUGGUGUGUGCAUUAGCUGUGAUGCAGGGAUGUGUCGGUCCUACUUCCAUGUCACUUGUGCACAGAGAGAGGGGCUCCUGUCCGAAGCUGCUGCAGAAGAGGAUAUUGCAGAUCCAUUUUUUGCUUAUUGCAAGCAGCAUGCAGACCGCUUUGAUAGGAAGUGGAAAAGAAAAAACUACUUGGCUUUGCAGUCAUACUGUAAGGUGUCGGUGCUUGAGCGAGAGAAACAGCUCACUCCUGAAGCUCAGGGCCGGAUCACAACUCGCCUGCAACAAUACCGCACAAAAGCAGAGUUGUCCAGGAACACACGACCUCAAGCAUGGGUGCCAAGGGAGAAGCUGCCACGACCUCUGACCUCUAGUGCAUCAGCCAUCAGGAAGUUAAUGAGAAAGGCAGAGCUGAUGGGCAUCAGCACAGACAUUUUCCCGGUGGACACAUCUGACACCAAUGCAAGCAUGGAUGGCCGUCGGAAACACAAGCAGCCUGCACUCACGGCAGACUUUGUCAAUUAUUACUUAGAGCGUAAUUUGCGAAUGAUCCAGAUCCAGGACAACAUAUCUGAACAGAAGACCUUAAAAGACAAGCUGGAGAAUGAGCAAGACAAACUGCACGUGGAGUACAACAAGCUCUGUGAAUCUCUCGAAGAGCUGCUAAAUGUCAAUGGAGAUCUGCGAAGUGAAGGCCAAGCAAUGUGGACUCUACUUGGAGACAUCCUUGGCCAGAAACUAAACACUCCAGCUGUUUUAAAAGCCCCCAAAGAGAGGAAGUCUAGCAAAAAAGAGGGGGAAAUUCAAGGGAAACCGUCAAGCCUACCAGCAAUUCUUUACAGCUGCGGCAUCUGUAAGAAGAACCAAGACCAACAUCUCCUUGUGCUGUGUGACACCUGCAAACUUUACUACCAUUUGGGUUGUCUUGAACCACCACUGACACGCAUGCCCAAGAAGACCAAGAAUAGCUACUGGCAAUGCUCAGAGUGUGACCAGGCAAGCAGCGAUGAAGCUGAUAUUGCUAUGGAGACGCUACCUGACGGUACCAAGAGGUCCAGGAGGCAGAUUAAAGGGCCAAUUAAAUUCAUCCCGCAAGAGAUGUCACCAGAGCCCAAAAAAACUCAAGUUAGAGGCACGAGAACCAGAGGGCAGAAAAGAAAGAAUAUCCCUUUCUGUGAAGAGAGAGACGACAACAUAGAGGACUCACUACCAAGGGAGCGCAGACAGCGUCAAUCUGCUGUGUUAAAAAAAAACAAAGCAGAUGACACGAGGACUGAGUGUACAACCUGUAAAGGACCGGGUGACAAUGAAAAUCUUGUGAGGAGUUGAAUGACAGAAUUCACAACAGAUGAUUGAUCCAUGGUUUGACCAAUAAUAUUUCAGGUAUCACCACAUAUAUACCUUUCUGUGACUCCCAUAGAGUCCCUCUAUGUCUCUUUUGCAACCCCCUAAUGACAUUCUGUGACACUCUAAGGUUGUGAGAGCCGGGGCAGCCACCUCACCUGGCAUAAAAACAUGGAACCGACGACCAUUGGCUUAGAGAAAAACAAAAGCAAAGUUGAGAGGCCUUUGAAGAAAGACGGUUGAUACAGGCUGAACAACAAGAGAACAAGACCGCCCCCUACAGUCCACAAUGACCUCUGAUCCAAACUGGAUGAAUGGAAACUGUCAAUCUGAAAAACAGAAUUGCUUCGAGAUGAACUUACUUCAUUACUUAAAUUGAGCAACAAUAAUUAUGUGAUAAUAUUUUUUAAUGUGGAAUGCUAAGGCAAGACAUUAGUACGUUAUCGCUUUAGAUGUAGUAAUAAAAUCCGUACAAGUCUGAUGUAGAAACGUUAAUGAAAAGUGAUUGUUUUAUUAUUUUCCGUGGCACUACUGAUAACAGUUGACAGAUUUUAUGGAUUUAAAAAAAAAAAAAAAAAGAAAAGAUGUAUGUGUACCGGUAUUCAGUAACACUUGACAUUUGGAUAAAUCCAUUUAUUCAAUGCUGAGGAAUGAGCCUUUUGUUUUCAGAAAUGCCAGUGAAGUCCAUUUGUCAUGUUUUGUUCAAAGUUGGUGCCAGCAGCACAGUGAAGCAAUGGUUAGAAAAUUUGGUUGCUGGUCUUAAUAAGAUUUGACUCAAGAAGAGACUGUUAGCAAGAAAAGAGAUAGCUUCCAACUGUGAACUAGUACGGCGUACAGUACGGCAGCAUUUGUGGAAAACAUCAAUUUGCAUUAUUUCUGAUUAUGAAUAGCCUAAAUGAAUCAAUUAAGAGCUACAAGAAUGUGUGAAGGACGAAUCUGUUCGACCAACAGUGGUUUAUGUGACCCAUAUGAUAUCAGCUUGGCAUAGUACUUGUAAAGAUAGUUUACCAGGUACUAUUUGACAGAAAUUUGCAUGUGAAUAGAAAAGUGGCAUAACACAAAGUGCACCUACCAGUACCAAUAUUCUUUCUGGAGAAUCCUCGUCUCUCCAAGCGUUUGGGACUUGUAAUGUCCAUGGUGUUUACUGCUUUUGCGAACAACCAAUUGUUAUUGUCUUUAUAGAUCGGUGAUUCUUAACCUGGGUUUGAUCGAACCCUAGAGCAGUGGUUCUUAAUCUUGUUGGAGGUACUGAACCCCACCAGUACCAUAUGCGCAUUCACCGAACCCCUCUUUAGUGAAAAUCUUUUUUUUUCUUCAAAUUCAAGACAUCAAUAUUUACUACUGGUGCACAAAAUGAGCUGUGCAUGAACAUCACCUUGUUUGAAGAAAAAAACCAACACAAUGCAUGGACUCAAAACAAAUUACAUAACACCAGAUCAGUGUGACUUCUGCUGUUGCCUUUGCGAGACCAUUUCAGAUAUGCGUCAUCACAAAUUUACACAAUAAAUCAGGUAUGUUCGAACCUCCGCAGUGGAGGGACUCUACUGAACCCCUGAGACCGACUCACCGAACCUCUACGGCAGUGGUUCUUAACCUGGGAUCGAUCGAACCCUAGGGGUUCGGUGAGUCGGUCUCAGGGGUUCAGCUGAGAAUCCACUGCGGAAGUCCGAACGCACCUGAUUUAUUGUGUAAAUUCGUGAUGAUGCAUAUCUCGCAAAGACAACAGCAGAAGUGUCAGGUUUAUUUUGAUGACUGAAUAACUAUUAAGAGAAGAGCAACAGCAAACAGACCACAAGUGAGACAGAAUCUUAAGUCUUUUCUCGCGAGGAGUGCAGUACAGAUCCUUCACAACAAUCUCACUACACUAAUUAUCUGUAUGCACUCCUGUUCUUUUUAUUUGGAUUUGCCCUACCCACAAAAUGAGACAAGCCCUCUAAAAGGGGAGGAGGGAAGCACGUGGGCUUUGUCUCGUAAGAAGAAAAAUCACAAGGUGUUACAUACUGAUAUGGAACAGUGUGAGAAAGAGUACGAGUGAUCAGCAACCAUUCUUUGUGUCUGUGAUGAAUUCAGGAAACAUGAGUGAUCAGCGAUCAUUGUUUGUGUCUGUGAUGAAAUCAGGAAACAUGAGUGAUCAGCAAUCAUUCUUUGUUGAAAAGGAACUGUCUUGGUAGAUGUCUUCCUUUUGCUGUGUCACUGAGUUGCCAGCUCCGUCCUGUCUGACCCAGCUGUAAUCUCUCUUCUGUGGUACAUCAUAAAAACAGCAAGGCCAAACAGCAAGCAUAUAUUGCAGUAAUAUUGCGGUAAAGCAUUGAUUAGAGAACGCAUGAUAACAUAUAUAUACAUUUUUCUAACAAUUCCCUCCUGUUUAUCAUAAGUUCUCAGAGACCACCUUACCACCCAAAAGCGUCCAUUUCAAAAAGAUUUUCAGCCGUAGGAUCACAAUUCAUAAGAACAGAUUUACACCCGGGAGGAGAUUGAGCCUUAAUAAUCAAUGUCAGAGUCGGGAAACAAAUCGGACAGGUUUACCACAGGAGCUUCAAAGAUGGAGCCAUCGCUAGAGCGACAACCCUCGUCAGUCGCAAAGUCGUCCCCUUGGAGCAACGGAAAAGUCUCAGCUGCUGGAGAGAUAGCAAUUGUAAUUAAUCUGUUAAUUAGAGACCGGAGACACGGAAUACAACAACAUCCACACAAGGUCAAAACAGCAGAAAAAACGGCAAGGGCGACUAGGACCGAGGAAACCAGGGUACGGUACUGUCCGAACACGUUUAGCCAGUCGUUCCAAACCUCCGUGUUCACUCCACUGUGUUCCUUCAUUUUCCCAUUCAAGGUCCUCAGGCCCUCAAGGGCCUGGGACAGGCUUCCAUCAGCGGCAGUACCAUUUGGAAUGAAUGUGCAGCAUUGCUCACCAAACAUGGCGCAGACACCACCCUCUUUUGAGAGUAGCAUGUCAAAGUUCAUUCGGUUCUGGAAAGCCAUGAGGGAAGUCGCGGCCAGUUGGGAGUGAACCGCCCUGAAACCCGCCUCGGUCCAAUUUCCAAGCCUCUGCACGUGGUAAUGGAUGUAGUUGACCCUGUCGACAUUUUUGUUGAGAGUACACCACCAACACAGGGUGGAUUCAAAACCAGCUGCUAUCUGAUUCACCAGCUUACACUUAUCCGGUACUCCUCUGGGAACACCUAUUGCAUCAAUUUUGGUCAGAUCAUCGUCGGCUGUCAAAUUCAAAGAUAUUUUGGUUUCUGCCAGCUUUUUCUUUUUUCUUUUCUUGGGAUGUUGAUACAUAUACAAUUUAGCUUGACUACAUUCUCUGAAAGCAAUGGCUUCUUUUUUCUUUCUUCAAUGGAUAUUACUAUAAAGAAUGCUCUGUCACACAUUUCAUAAUCCAAUAGACGUGAUAGAUUUCCCACAAUCUUUGAUCAAUGGUGACAGUACAACAUAAAGCAAUGGUCACAAACCCAUACAUAUGACAUAUUAAAUUUUGUUUGUCUUUACAGCUUGUUUUGCCAUUAGCAAUAAAUUGUUUCGUUUAGCAGUUUACUAUAAUACUAGUUACCUGAAACAAAUUAUCCACAUUCACUUUAGAUAUAUUCAUCCCAUUCUUUAACAUCUACAGCGGUUGUUGACAAAGUACACAUAUAAACAUCAUACUUUCAUGGCAGUCCAGAUCUGACACAGCAGAUCAUCCUGAAAAGGUCAAAUUGAUCUUUUAAAUCGCUACAAUGCAGCAUAAUUUAUUUAUUUAUUUAUCUAUUUAUUUUUUUCUUUUUGAAAAUGUUUUGAAUAUGAAUCAAAUCCGUAUGUUGUAUAAAGCUGACUGACCAGCCCCACCAUCCCACCUCUUGAGCCAUGUGACACGCACUAUGGCUCAAUAUUGCUACCCAUUUGUAUAGGUUCCUCGGUAGGACAGGUCUGUCUUCUGGUCAUUUAUAGAUACCAUUCUCCACUCUUGCCCCUCUUUACGUCCAUAAUUGAAUUUCAGUCGAUGGACUUUGUCGCUGCACAUCUUUUUUUUAAAAAAAUUCCAGUAAUUCAAUCCGCUUCUUGUGUGUAUAAAAUUUGAAGCGUCUUUUGCACUGCAGCUAUGCGGUUCCGUCUGCAAGCUUGUUACCUCUUGACACCUUAUCAGUCUCGUGCGUGCCCUGCACACGUGCAUAUAGCUAUUUGUCGUGGCAAUUGGACUGCUUCCACAACUAGCUUAGUUGUAGUUUCUUGUAGUUUCUUUUCAAUCAGUUUCUCAUCGUUUAUCACAAGAAUCUUAGUAAUUUGAACAAAAAUCAAAAAGUAUAUUUUACUCAAUUGUACGAUUUAGAGAAUCCAUAUGUAGUAAAGUGUUGUAUUACUACAUAUGAUUUCAUCUCCAUUUAGUUUGACACACCUUUCAAAACGCUUCUCAGUGUCCCAGUGCACACAUGUUUUGCGUGUGUAACUGGUUGUCUCAACCCGUGUUCCACAUCCUAAUCUUUCCUCCCUCAAGGUGUCAAACCAAUCAAGAUAAAGAUAAAAAACAACAAAAUAACCGCCAGUAAAUUAAUAUAAUAGUCAAUUGUUGUUGUUUCUUAACUUUAACUAACUUAAACACUCUCUUAUCCUCAAAUGUAAAAACUUGUGUAGUCUUUACGUACACAACCAAUUGACUAUUUCUUCUAAAUUUAGCUUUGAAAUGUUGUUAUUUAAUAAUUUUGCUUCAUCCAAUUCCAGAAAGCAAGUUCUUUUGUUUUGCGGUGCAAAUCAGAUAGACUACAGUCUAGCAAAUUCUUUUGUGCACCUACAUUAGCCAAUUUUAACACAUAACACCGACAGCACACAGACAACACAAAAACUUACAGCAGAGACACAGCUCACAAACAAUACAAACAAACAACGCUGCGCAAACGUCAUCCUCUAUAUUGACGUUUUGGUUAUACUUUUGUUUUCUCAUCAGUGCCUUUUAUCCUUCAUGCAAAUAUUGUCACAUCUUCCUUAAGCAUCACUCUCUGAGAAAAUCACACUGUCCCUGCUUCGCCUGCAGCCAUAGCACCCCUCGUGCGAGGGGGGGGCGCAGCAUCAAUGUUGAUUGGUCACAGGCUGGCCAUUUCCUGCAACAACCAUGAUGCCGGCCCACCGCCCACACGAGCAUAGCACAGGCCCAAGCGCACAGCCCCGCCCAGCGACUACGCAUAGCGCAGGCACGCUUCUCAGUCUCGCCCUCUCAAAGGGCAGGCCAACUUUGCUGUUGCCCCCUUCAUCAUGUUCACAUUCAACAUCGUUCACUGUCUUCUACACAACAUUUGCUGUCUCUUAUUCUCGUCCUAUCAAGCCACCGUUCUAGUCACUUUCCAACCAACUUAAACACAUCAUCGUCUACUUCUCAAUUUCCCUAUUAUUCCUCAACAGCCUCCUGAACAGUCUCCAUUACUGAUUUCUUCCAUAGGACACACAUCUCACUCGCACUCAUACACACACCCAUUCAGGAGGAUCCUCUGCGCGCAUACACACACACCAGCACAAAAGGAUGACGCACAACAUAUAAUUGGUCAUUUGUCAAGAUAUUUUACAUUUUCUGGGUCGACCCAUUCCAUUAAUUUCCAAUGCUUGCAUUUUAGGUCAUGUCGGGGUAGAGAUUUUCGCUUACUAUUUAGGUUUCCCAUGGUUUAUCUUUCUAAAUUUUGGAGUUGGUAGUUUGAAUGACACCUACAGUGUCCUAAAACCAACUUUAUUCACAGGACAGUGGUUAAAAAUUCAACGUGUGGUAAGUCUCCUUUCACCUCCCCCGAAAGGAGCGGAGAGUUGUUGCCUCUACACCAGUGCUUCUCAAUUAUUUUCUGUUACGCCCCCCCCUACAAGAAGAAAACUAUUCGCGCCCCCCCUCCCCACCGUGACUAUCCUAACUUGUCUUGUAAGUCGUAAAAUGUUGCACUGUCCCAAACGUGACAGAAGUAACAAUGAGAGCGCCACUGCCCCCUGCUGUAGUAAACGCGAAAUUACACUUUAUUCUAGUACUGCCAAAAAAAAAGCCUGUUCCCCAGGGUCACACGCGCCCCCCCAGGAAUAGCACCGCGCCCCCCAAGGGGGGCGCGCCCCACUAUUUGAGAAGCACUGCUCUACACCAACACAAAGCCACCGUUUACAAUCCUGUGUGUUUAUAUAGAGGAGCGCUCAAAUGAGAUCACUCUCAGUCAAACCGUUCACAAGCAUACCACGCGCGUUUUUUAGGAAUAACAGAGGAGUCCGCCCCUCCCACUACGGAAUUUAACUAGCGUGAAAGCUAGGGGGCUCCACACCGGCCCCGCGGAAUUUAAAUGUUUUUAAUUGCACUUGAUAGAGUCUAGAACUUUCAAGGUUUUGAGUGACCUCUUGUCACUGCUCGUUUUAAGUGACCUCUUGUCACAGCUCAUUCAUUCCUUUUUAGUAGAAUUAAUAUUCCUACUCACGGUCUGCUGAUUCUCUUCCUCGGAAGAUCUCGUCAACCCUCCUGGUGUCCAGCCGGACUGAUCGAGACAGUCACGUCAAAGGGCUUUUGUUUACCUCGGCCGAGGAUUUUCGCCUGCGUCGAAGAGCCCGCUGGAACCGUUCAAGGCGUGUCGAGAUCCCGGACGAGCCCCAAUUUCUGUCAGGUUUAUUUUGAUGACUGAAUAACUAUUAAGAGAAGAGCAACAGCAAACAGACCACAAGUGAGACAGAAUCUUAAGUCUUUUCUCGCGAGGAGUGCAGUACAGAUCCUUCACCACAAUCUCACUACACUAAUUAUCUGUAUGCACUCCUGCUCUUUUUAUUUGGAUUUGCCCUACCCACAAAAUGAGACAAGCCCUCUAAAAGGGGAGGAGGGAAGCACGUGGGCUUUGUCUCGUAAGAAGAAAAAUCACAAGGUGUUACAUACUGAUAUGGAACAGUGUGAGAAAGAGUACGAGUGAUCAGCAACCAUUCUUUGUGUCUGUGAUGAAUUCAGGAAACAUGAGUGAUCAGCGAUCAUUGUUUGUGUCUGUGAUGAAAUCAGGAAACAUGAGUGAUCAGCAAUCAUUCUUUGUUGAAAAGGAACUGUCUUGGUAGAUGUCUUCAUUUUGCUGUGUCACUGAGUUGCCAGCUGCGUCCUGUCUGACCCAGCUGUAAUCUCUCUUCUGUGGUACAUCAUAAAAACAGCAAGGCCAAACAGCAAGCAUAUAUUGCAGUAAUAUUGCGGUAAAGCAUUGAUUAGAGAACGCAUGAUAACAUAUAUAUACAUUUUUCUAACAAGUCAUACUGAUUUGCAGGUAUGUAAUUUGUUGUGAGUUCAUGCUUUAUGUUGGUUUUGUUCUUUGAACAAGGUGAUGUUCAUGCCCGGCUCAUUUUGUGCACCAGUAAAAACCAUCUACCGUUUUUUUCCGUGUAUAGUGCGCAAAAUUUAACGAAUUUAUCGUCCUAAAAUCUGGGGUGCGCAUUAUACAUGGGUACAAAAAAAUAAAAAAAAAAAUUUUUAAUUUUUUUUUUUUUUUUUUUAGAAAACAAAACCAACAACAGGACUGACCGACAAAGUCGUGGAACAAAGAGACAGGGUGACAUUACCAAAGACAGGAACAGAAAGCAAACAGACAUCAUGACAGUAACACAUGCAAUGAUCCGACGGUGAGCGAGGGGCAGACAGGACUUAAAUACAAAACACGUUACAUCGAUUGAGGUGACACAGGAAGAGAGGGGCGACGCGAACAGAAACUAUGGCAACCUAGACACAUAGCAAAACUGGGGACGAGACAUGACAAAUCUCCCCCGAAAUAAAACUUGUAAUCACCUUUCUUCUUGUUUGUCAAUCGCGCAUCGCAUUCAGCCAUCCUGUCCCAACACACUUAGUCAAAAAAAUCCAUAAUUGAUGACACAUCGUUUGAUGCGAUGGUGCAAUCCUUGAUGGUGUGUUAUUGUCAAAUAUUGUUUGUUUUUUAAUCUCCAUCGCGGACCGGACGUCAUGCGGAAGCAGUAUGACUGCGCAUGCGCACUAUGGGUCAGCUGCGCAGAACGGAUGCGCAAGACACGUCAGCUAUUUACUAAUUAGCGAGAGUUCGGUUUAAUUAGCAGUUUCAUCAGAAUGGAUAAGAGAGCAAGUUAUACUGUAGCAUUUCGAAAGAAAGUCAUUGAAGUGGCAGAAGAAUUAGGCAAUAGGGCAGCUGCGCGCCAAUUUGAAGUCAAUGAGUCAAACAUAAGACUCUGGAGGAAGAAAAAAGAUCAAUUUGAUACAGCGAAGGCUUCAGCAAUAUAGUCCUCUUCUCUUCUUGACUGACAAUGAAUGUGAUAGUUUAAUACAAUCAGCAAAUAACAAAAUGCGUAUUACAGGUCGGUCAUAUUUUAUUUCACAACACUUUGCCUUGUUCCUUUCGUCUCUGCUGUUCACUUCAAACACGCUCCAUACGAGCGCAAUGCUCUCGUAUCAGACAAGGCUUGCUCGAUCACCUGCUCGUUUGCUGUCUGUCACAAUGUACCCUACACAAAUCCGAAACAUUUGUUGCGGCUCCGAGUCACGACGAGGGGCAAGUUUUGGUUUCCAAGGGUGUUUUUAUUCCUCUUCAACGUCUCUCCCAUACAGAGCCGCCUUUUUCACGUCCGCACUUCUCUUUCCCGUGCGCGCACGGAGCGCGGUGGUGCGUUUAUGGGCAGUCGGAGAAAUCAACGCCAACAAAAAAAAUUACAUACAGCCUAGUUAAGACCAUACCAAAGACUAUAAAAAUGGGACCCAUUGCCUCCCUGCGUGUGUGACGAUCAUUGGGACUUAAAAAAAAACAAAAAAAAAAACAAUUUCAUUAAAAAAAAAUUCAAAAAAAUUGCGUGCGUAUUAUACAUGGGUACAGGCUUUUUUCCAGCAUCAGCAUGCCAUUUUUAGGGUGCGUAUUAUACAUGGGGGCGCACUAUACACGGAAAAAAACGGUAUAUCUUGAAUUUGAAAAAAAUUAUUUUAACUAAAGAGGGGUUCGGUGAAUGCGCAUACGAAACUGGUGGGGUUCGGUACCUCCAACAUGUUUAAGAACCACUGUUAUAGAUGUAAGCUUGGUAUUGCUGAAUCAUAAUUAGUAAUUUCUCAUAUAUUAUCUAAAACCUGCUUCCAUGCAUGGCUAUAUCAAUUACUCAACCUACUUGACUUGAUUUUACAUAUUUACGUGUUAUUUGUAUAGAAGCGUCGCUAGCAAUAGUGUGAUACUUGUCUUUUUUUUGUGUACAUGGAUACAUGUUUAAAAAUCAUAUUUGCUACACAUUUAUUUGUAUUAAUCACACUAUGUGUGUAUGUACUACCGUAUGUGCGUGCAUUUUAUAGCUCUCGAAAAAUAAGUAGGGCUUCAAUAUACUCUUGACUUUUUAUCUUAUUGCUGCAGUGAUUGCUCCUAACGUGCGGCAGCAGCGGUCAGGUUGUGCGUGUAUUGCCCUGUGUCCUCUGAUUUAUCACCUGGGAACUGUGACGUAGGUGGGGUCUGGUUCAUACAAGCUGUUGCCUCAACACAUACAGACAACAACUGAAAUUGAUCUGCUGGAUGUUUGUUAUAUCUUUAAUCACUGGCUGUGCAUGUGUGUACUGUAUGUGCAUGAAUAAACAGUGUACAUACACAUGCACACAUGCACACGUUUCACUUGUUUCCAAAAAGAACACAUUCCUGUGCCAAAAGAAGCUGUACAGCCUCACCUGCAAAUGAAGAGUAAUAAAACUAAUGAUUACAUAAAAUUA